rnacentral:lncRNA from 1 species
AAGUUUUCAAGCAAGGAACGGUAAGUGCAAAAGAAUAUGAACUUUAUUAAGGCUAAGUAAUUUCUGUACACUAAUAUACCCUAAAAAAAAGGGAGUUCAGGGGGCAAAAGAAUGGCUUUGAUGAACUCGUAAUUGAGCAACUGUGAUCACCUCCCAAGAAAAAAGAUGAUCUCCUCUAUUAAAGUAACUCAACCUAAGAGCAUAAUCCGGGGGAAUCCUCCAACAAAACUAGUUUCAAUCUGAGCUAUCAUCUGAGCCAAUCUGACUGCAAAUUCCAUAUAUGAGCAGGAGCAUGAGAUCCAGAGGACCAGAGGCAUCUUUAGCAUAAACACAAGAAAUUGUGCCCAGCUGUAUUUUCAACCAGCACAUAGCUGCUGAUAAAGACUGUUAUCCAUUUCAGGAUCUCCAUCAUAAUCAGGAGUAGCAACAAUUAACUAUUUAAAAAGUUGUAUUAAAUGAACAUUACCUUUUUCUUAUAGAAAUUAUAAACACGAAGAAUGGAUAGCAUACAUGUACAAUCCAAAUGCACAAGUCCAAACCACAUGAGGUGUCAAUGUAACAAUAUUACCUUCUAGAAACACAAACGCUAAAUAACA